UAUGAAGUACUUAGGUCCAGGAGAUCUGUUUGGAAAAACCAGUGAAGUAAUCAUAAGGACAAUUCUAGGAACAAAAUAUUUAUGCACCCCUAUUUUUUGAUGACUUAGACUCAUUAAGGAAUUUCAGCACAAAUGCACAAUUUUCUCAACAAAUAUAAAAAAGAUACUGAAAAGGAUGGGAGAAGAGAAACAAUUGGGGAAAUAAGCAUUUGUAAGAACAUAAAAUGUUAAGAAAAGCUAAACACAUGAGAGUAUUUUAUUAACGCUUUCAUUCCCAUAAAGUAGGAGAGUUGAGGUCUAAUAAGAAUGUUGUCUGUAAAGAAGCAGUAAAAGUUUCAGGCAAAAUGACAAAACCCAAUGGGAUGAGAGCCUGAAGCUGUUAUUCUAGAUGAGAUUAAGGAUAAGGAAGAAUUAAGAGCUAAAAAUAUGGAAGUAAGAAAAAGCUCAAAGGGGAAAAUUGUGAGAAAAUUUGAAAUAUCAUAGAAGAUAAGUCAUUUUGACAUAUUACCAGAAUUAUUCUUCAAAAUGGAAUAAUCCUAUGAUGAUUUGUAAAAUGGCCAUUCUUUAAAAAAUUUUACAUUGCAGUUACAGAAGGAUGAUUCGCUUGUAGUGGAGUGGGCCAUUGGAUAGUGAAAGGCAGGUCAGGGGUGUCAAGGUGCCCCAACCCAGUAUGUGCAGAUGGGAUGGUGGGAUCUAGGUAGACCCAUGAUGAGAACAGAGGGGACAACAUGGAGUCUUGUUGGAAAGGCAGACUUUGUGAUAGCUCUUGCUUGAUUUUAUAUCUUGGUGGACCAUCAGAUUCUGAUUUUAAUGCAAAUACAUUCCAUUCCUUUAAAUAUAUACACUCUCUUCCAUAUGUAUUAUAAAUAAAAAAGAACUUAUUUAAAAUAGCUCUGGGCUCACUCAUGUUUUUGUAUAUUACUGUAUCCUUUUGGAGCUGUUCUCCAAACUCUAGAGGCACCAUUCAGACAGAAGAAAUCAAUUUCAGACACGAUGGGUAACAGUUUUCAACUCACUGGGCUGCAAGUUUGCAGUAUCUAAUAGAUUUACUUUCUAGAUGAUAGACUUGGAUGGGCUUCUCACAGGGACAAACAGGACCAGAGAAUUUAAGAGCCUGCUCAGCCAUGCUUCUUGCCCUGAGCCUGGAGCGCAGGCAUUGCCUGGCAAUUCUCCCUGGGAGGCAGGAAUCCCACCAUGGAGAAUCAACAUUGGAUGAGAAUAACCACAGGAAAUCAUCAUUGAAUAGUAGCUUUAACACAGACUCCUAUAGAAUGGAUAAAUACCUUCUGUCAAGAACACUGCUCCGGGGCACGAAUCCCACUAAAGAGUUGGCUUCAGACACUGGGAACUAUCAAGCAGGUGGUCUCUGGAAAAAUUGUAGAGAAAUUAUCAGUCCUUCACCUGACUUUAUAGGACCUUUCAGUUUGCAGAAGGGGCUCGGAAAAAGAGCUGAUGCAGGUCUUGGCACUGUGCCAGUCAUAGAUGAAGG
rnacentral:lncRNA from 1 species